rnacentral:rRNA from 1 species
UACGGAGGAUCCAAGCGUUUAUCCGGAUUUAUUGGGUUUAAAGGGUGCGUAGGCGGAAUGAUAAGUCAGUGGUGAAAGCCUGCAGCUUAACUGCAGAACUGCCAUUGAUACUGUCAAUCUUGAGUACAUUUUGAUGUGGGCGGAAUGUGUCAUGUAGCGGUGAAAUGCUUAGAUAUGACACAGAACACCGAUUGCGAAGGCAGCUCACAAAACUGUAACU